UCAGGUAGAUUUCAAUGGUAAUGUUUUUCACACAUGAGGCAGGAGGAUCGCUUGAGUCCAGGAGUUCUGGGCUGUAGUGAGCUAUGCCGAUCGGGUGUCCGCACUAAGUUCGGCAUCAAUAUGGUGACCUCCCGGGAGCGGGGGACCACCAGGUUGCCUAAGGAGGGGUGAACCGGCCCAGGUCGGAAACGGAGCAGGUCAAAACUCCCGUGCUGAUCAGUAGUUAUAAAUUUUAAAAAAUAAUUCUUUUAAAAAAUGUCUAUUGACUUUUUACAAAUUUCAUGCA
rnacentral:SRP_RNA from 1 species